rnacentral:lncRNA from 1 species
CGCUGAGAUUCCGGGCCCGGCGGCCGCGGGGAGCGAGUGCCAGUUAGGAACGGGGCUGCUGGUCUUCUCUUUUGCGUUUUGGGGGUUCUUUUUGUUCAUAGCAGCAGCCACGACGCCGCCAAGCGCUCCAGCGCCGGAGGAGGCCCCGAGGUUCGCUGCCCCAGGCCCGGAGUCCAGCCGGGACACCUCUCCUUGACGAUCUGGGGCCCAGCCCUCACAGCAAGUACAGUUCUGAGAAUUGUGGAACUUCAUCCUUUCAUUUUAAGACACUCCUGCCUUUGCUUGAUGGAAUCCUGUGACACAUCAGCAGAGGCCAAUAACUUUGUUCAAAACAUCACUUCCAACAUUAUCCUGUGGCACUGAUACUUACUCCCAGAAUCGCACGACAGAGUGGAAUGUAUUUUCUGCCAUAAA